ACUCCUGCGGAAGGCAGCAGUGGGGAAUAUUGGACAAUGGGCGCAAGCCUGAUCCAGCCAUGCCGCGUGAGUGAUGAAGGCCCUAGGGUUGUAAAGCUCUUUCACCGGUGAAGAUAAUGACGGUAACCGGAGAAGAAGCCCCGGCUAACUUCGUGCCAGCAGCCGCGGUAAUACGAAGGGGGCUAGCGUUGUUCGGAUUUACUGGGCGUAAAGCGCACGUAGGCGGACUAUUAAGUCAGGGGUGAAAUCCCGGGGCUCAACCCCGGAACUGCCUUUGAUACUGGUAGUCUUGAGUUCGAGAGAGGUGAGUGGAAUUCCGGGUGUAGAGGUGAAAUUCGUAGAUAUUCGGAGGAACACCAGUGGCGAAGGCGGCUCACUGGCUCGAUACUGACGCUGAGGUGCGAAAGCGUGGGGAGCAAACAGGAUUAGAAACCCUUGUAGUCCCAUGAU
rnacentral:rRNA from 1 species